rnacentral:rRNA from 1 species
AUGAACGCUGGCGGCGUGCUUCACACCUGCCAGUCGAACGAAGCACUUUAUUUGAUUUCCUUCGGGACUGAUUAUUUUGUGACUGAGUGGCGGACGGGUGAGUAACGCGUGGGUAACCUGCCUUGUACAGGGGGAUAACAGUUGGAAACGGCUGCUAAUACCGCAUAAGCGCACGGCAUCGCAUGAUGCAGUGUGAAAAACUCCGGUGGUAUAAGAUGGACCCGCGUUGGAUUAGCUAGUUGGUGAGGUAACGGCCCACCAAGGCGACGAUCCAUAGCCGACCUGAGAGGGUGACCGGCCACAUUGGGACUGAGACACGGCCCAAACUCCUACGGGAGGCAGCAGUGGGGAAUAUUGCACAAUGGGCGAAAGCCUGAUGCAGCGACGCCGCGUGAGCGAAGAAGUAUUUCGGUAUGUAAAGCUCUAUCAGCAGGGAAGAUAAUGACGGUACCUGACUAAGAAGCACCGGCUAAAUACGUG